ensembl:lncRNA
AUGGAGCCAGGCACUGUGUUGAUCACUGCAGAAACAGGUAUUGCUGUGUUGCCCAGACUCCGGACUCAAGCGAUCCUCCUGCUUUGGCCUCCUGAGUUGUCAGAAUAUUCUCCUUAUGGCAGUGGAAGGAAUGCUAGAGAACAGGGUGAAUCACGUGAGCUUCUUUUAAAGAUCCUGCUUGUCUCACAUGUCUGCUGGUAUCCCACUUCUGGGGAGCAGGGAAUUCCAACACGCCAAGGGUGCAAAGUCACCUGGCAACAGACAAGGCUACAGGGAGGAGAAAAGGACUGGAACCAUUCACACAACCUGCCAUGGCCUUCCUCCAAGUUUUGCCUUCAGUGGGGCGAAGAAAGUGAACAUUCGCUUUGUGCUCUCCAUUCACUCCUCACCUCUUGAAGGAUUUGUCACUUUGGGGUGAAUUUCAUGCCACAUUGACUGAACUUUUGGAAUGUCACUUCCUCAGUGAACUUAGCGCCUUGCACAUUCCUCUGUUAUAACAUAUUCUCCAUGGCUCUAUAGCUGGUUAUUUGUGUGUCUGUCUUCUCUAUUCCACUGGGAGCUCCUGUUUCGGUCCUAAGUGGAUAUCAAUAAACAUCUCUUGAAUGCUGUAUGAACGAUGGCACAUUCCUGGCCUCCGUGACCUCUCUUUUCUCUGACGUCCUCUACACGUUCUUUCGACCCUUCAUCUCAGCUUCUGAGUAUUGCUAGUUAAUCUGUUAUGUUUACAAUUCACCGUUUGCGAAGUUACCUGGCUGUGGUUCCUAUUCAUUCAAGAAUUGUAGAGUGAAUAGAGAGCACAAAACAAAUGUUCCCUUUUUCCGGGCCACUGACGGCAAAACUUGGAAGAAGGCUGUGGUAGGUUGUGUGGAGGGUCCCAGUUCCUUUCUCCUACUGACCUAUCAGACUCUAGUCAUUCUCAGAAGACUACAUGGAGUACACACACGUGCAUAUGCUCUUUUCCCAUUCUGUGCUCCGAAGGCAGUUUUGGGAAAUCCUUCAGUAAUGCUGUCAUGUUUGUUUGGAUACUCUUGAGGUUGACAAAUCUUUGCCUUGUUAAGGUGGAUGGAAUUUUUGGAAACAGCUAACAGUCAUUUGGAUCCAAAGCUGGUGACUAAGGUGGGUGAUCAAGCAAAAAUGAAGUGUGGGGGCAAAAAUGAAGUGUGGUCAGGAAGAAAUCAGCCUGAGAUUCUCUCAUAGCUUUAAAGCUGUCCCCAAGGACAGCCUGCAGAGCCCCUGAUGGAAGGAAAGAUGAUAUUUUGUGAGCACGUCUACUCCCUCCCAAGGUGACUGUUUUGCAAGGGCUUGUGCACCAUUGGAUGAGAACAUUCUGAUCUCAUUUACUUUAGCUGUGGUUCUUAUUCUUUCGAAUCCUUUGAUAAUCUGAUGAAAGCACUGACCCUCUUUCCAGAAAAAUGCUCAUGAGCUCAUAUUUUGCAUAUAAUUUGAGGGAGCCCAUGGACCCCGUGAAGCCAAUCCAAGCAUCCAAGGUAAGAAUUUCUGUUUGGAAUGAGCACAGAAACUAGAUUUAAGGCACUCGAGAACAACAAGUAUGGUUUUCUUAGUUUCUGCCCACACACCCUCACAAUGAGCCCAGCCAGGGCUAUGAACUAACUGAUUCUCCAGAAAUAGCACGUGAACUACGUGUAUGAUCUUCUCUCUGAGCUUAUUACUUUGUGGGUGAGAUCCCUGUGGCCAGUUCCUCCUCGGAGGCCCCUCUCAGGUCGGCAGUGCAGCCUGCCUGCAGCGUGGCUUCUCAGAAUGGCUGCAUUUCAACCUCAACAAGGUUCUUGCUUGGGAAGAAGCAGGAAAGAGCCUUGCAGUUCCAUUUCGACUCAGGGGGUCAGGCCAGAAAGGAGCUUUCCUUUUGGCAGCUUCAGAGUCCUUGGUGACUCUCCCUUCAGGCACCCUGUGCCCCUCCCCGCCAGCCUGUCUGCUCUGAGAGCAGCCACAAGAGGGAUCCAUUUGAUGUAAAGGACCAGGAGUUCGGCUGUGAUGGUGCCCCCUGUCUUAAUCUCCCUAACACCCAUGCAGGCUCCCUGACCAAGGUGGUGAGUGCUGACUGUGGAGGGGGAAAGGUAUGGGCUGCAGGGAUCAGGUGGCCACCAGCUGAGGCAGGUUCUACCCCAGCCCCCUGCUUCUAUCCAGGCAUAAGACCAGGACAUCGUUGGGGCCCUGACUGGUCAGCCCCUAUGCCCCUGAGUGCUCAGGCCUUUUUCAAGGUGUACUGCAACCCCUCUUCACUUUCUCUUUUCUUUUUGUUUUGUUUGUUUGUUUGUUUGUUGUUGUUGUUGUUUAUGGCAAAAGCAACCCAAGUUCAAAAGGGAAAAUGAGAAAAUUCUAACACGCAGAGGGUACCUGUAACUACCACUUCUCAAAGACAAACUCCAGCACUAUGACAGGCCAUCUUCCUCAGGAGGUCCCGGAGCAACAGGGGAGGCUGUCAAGGAGAAGGGAGUGAGUUUGUGUGGAUGGGGCAUCUGGGCAGUUUGUGUACAAACCGGGGCCAGGGCGAUCCCUCCAGGGUUACCAGCCACAGGUGCCCAGAGGGAGAAACGAGAGGUGUGGGGAGGGUGGGAGGGGAAGUUAAUGCACAAUGACCGCCCCACCCACCACGGUGUUGAGAGGGACUGUCUUCUUUAUUCAACACCACCAUACUGUGACUGGUAUUAUUCCUGCUUUACAGCCCAGGAAACUGAGAUCCCACGGAAUGAAAUGACAUCCCCCAGGUCACAUAGCCAGAGUGAUGGAGUCCAGACCUGAAGCCAGGACUGUCUUGCUCCAGAAGCUGACACUUUAACAAAACCCCUGGGGCCUCUUAGGGCAAAGGUCUGCUCUCCACUUGGAGAAUGCAGCCCUACCCUGCCCCCACGCCCCGCCCAGCUCUACAUGCCCCACCUGCAUCCACUCAUAUUGUAGAGUUUCCAGGACAACCCCAAGGUUAGACACGUCAUGCUUGCCAUCAGUCCCCAUGUCCUGAUCUCACAGCCCUGCUCCUGAACUAUCCCUCAGGAGGCCUGGGAGGAGGGGUAGGCAUGAAAGGACAUCCUCAACGGAGGCUGCAGUGAGGUCUCCACACCCCGGUCUCCCUCAGUGGCUCUGGAGAAUGGGCCAACAGAAACUCUGAUGAUCUUCCCUGGAAAUGGGGCCUCCUGCUGCCCUUGUGUGCUGGGCAGACAGUUCUGAGAACAGACACACCCCCUCCAUUCCCACCUCCUUUUCUUGGGACACCUCUUCCCAGACUCAGCCUUGAGGCCCAGGGAGAGGCUUGCUUGGUUGCCAGGGCAACAGCUCCAUUGUUCCCAUGGCGAGAGUUUAGCGUCAGGCCCCUCCAUUCUUGGACCUGGCUCUCCCUACCAUUCGGGAGCCUGGGGAGCCGUCAGGGGCCCAUUCUCCUCCCCAGGGCCUCUUUGUCAUCUCAGGAGGCAGAGGAUGGGGGUGGGAGGACCAGCUAACUGGUCACCAUGCCAACAUCACAUGGCCCCCAUCCAUUUAGAGGAGGGGUACCCACAGCAACGGGAAGCUCAGCAGUCCAGGGAGCAGCUGUUCUGUUCCGUGGCUCACCUGCUCAAGGGCCCCUGCUUGGUCCAGCCACAGCCUCAGGGUCCACUGAAGGAGAGAAUUUUUCUAGCUUUCCCUUCUUUCACCCAGUUUGCUCCGAUUUUGCCUGGUUAGACAAAGCUCAAGGCUUAGGAUUUCUCUUACCUGUCCUGGAUUUCCUGGCCAUGGGAGAGGAGCCAGGCUGUGCCCCACCUGAUGGGGACCAUUGACAUUCAUUCCUUCAUUCACUCACUCUGACGCUCUCAUUCAUGCAAUAGCAUUCACUGAAGUGACUCAGGACCAUCCUACAAGCUAGUAUUAUAAAACCACUUUACACACGAGGAAACUCUUACUCAAGAAGGUAAAUGGUCCAAGGCACCCCAGAUAUUGAGUGUCAGAGGCAGGAUCUAACCUCAAGUCUCCCACCACUGACAUGAUCUUGGCUAUCGCUGUGCACAAUAACUAGAUUGUUGACUGGAAAUAAAGCCAUUAAGGGCAGGGCAUCUUGCACAUAGCAGCUGCUCAGUAAGCCUUGCAGUGGAUGAAUAAACGUAUUCAGGGUAGCUAUGCAGUGUAUUAGGGGCAAAAACCUGGAAGACACCAGUUCAUUCAUUCGUUACACUCAGUAAAUAAUUACUGAGGAUUCUCUGUGCCAGGCACCAUACUAGGUGCUAGAGACAUUAAAAAAACAAGGCAGCUAUCUGGUUCCAUGUCUGGUGAGAGAGACAGACAAGUAAAUUGCCCAUUGCAGUGUAGUGAGGUAACAGCAACAACAAGAGAAGUCCAGGCAUUGGGAAUCCAUCCCUCAACAUGCGGUCCAUGGCUGACUCAAAGUCAGAAGACUCUCAGGCUGACCCCAGUGGCAUUUCUCAUAUUCUGAAGCACUGAGUCACAGACCAGCUGAGCUGAAACAGACCAGACCAUUUUCCUAGUUCAGUUUUCACCUGCCCUGGUCAUUUCACGGACCACUAUCCCCAUUUUUACCAUAUACACAUCCCACCCACCGUUAUGUAACUCAUUUUCCUUUACACUGACUCACUGAUUAAACACCCUCCCAAAAAUAUGUGUAAGAUGGAAAAUUUAUAUCACUAUCAGUAAUGGAAGACCAACUUCAUGCAUAAAAUACACUCACUUCACGCAUAAAAUACACUCACAAAGCAAUGUUAUUAAAUUCUAGGGUGACAGCAUUCCUGUGAUGGACCCUGAUUCUAAGAUCCACUCUAUUUAAAAAAGAAACGAGCUAAGCAUGAUAGCUCACCCUUGUAAUCCUAGCACUUUGGGAGGUGAAGGCAGGCCAAUUGCUUGAGCCCACGAGUUUGAGAUCAACCAGGGCAACAUGGUAAAACCUGUCUCUACAAAAACUUGGCUGUGCAUGGUGGUGCAUGCCUGUGGUCCCAGUUACUUGGGAGGCUGAGGUGGAAGGAUAGCUUGAGUCCAAGAGGUUGAGGCUGCAGUGAGCCAAGACUGCACCACUGCACUCCAGCCUGGAUGACAAGUGAGACCCUGUCCCAAAAAUAAAAUAAAAAAUAAGUGAGCAGAUGUUAGUGAGGUAUUAGAAACAUGCGGACAUCAAGUUGAUCAUUUCUCUUUGAUUCGAAAGGUCUAAAAGAGAAUUUAAAAGGAAAGAACUAUUUUUAGUGGGUGAUUUAAUGUUAUUUAGGGGCUGGCACAGGGUGAAUCACCCGACGUCAUCUCAGGAGCUGCUCGGUC